rnacentral:rRNA from 1 species
UACUCCGUGCCAGCAGCCGCGGUAAUACGGGGGAUGCAAGCGUUAUCCGGAAUCAUUGGGCGUAAAGCGCCUGUAGGUUGUCUAAUAAGUCUGUUGUUAAAGACUAGGGCUUAACCCUGGGAAAGCGAUGGAAACUACUAGGCUUGAGUAUGGUAGGGGUAGAGGGAAUUUCUAGUGUAGCGGUGAAAUGCGUAGAUAUUAGAAAGAACACCGGUGGCGAAAGCGCUCUACUGGGCCAUUACUGACACUGAGAGGCGAAAGCUAGGGGAGCAAAAGGGAUUAGAUACCCCUGUAGUCCUAGCCGUAAACGAUGGAUACUAGGUGUUGUAUUAUUAUACAGUAUCGUAGCUAACGCGUUAAGUAUCCCGCCUGGGGAGUACGCUCGCAAGGGUGAAACUCAAAGGAAUUGACGGGGGCCCGCACAAGCGGUGGAGCAUGUGGUUUAAUUCGAUGCAACGCGAAGAACCUUACCAGGGCUUGACAUACUACAAAUCUUUUUGAGACGAAAGAGUGCCUUCGGGAAUGUAGAUACAGGUGGUGCAUGGCUGUCGUCAGCUCGUGUCGUGAGAUGUUGGGUUAAGUCCCGCAACGAGCGCAACCCUCGUUUUUAGUUGCCAAUUUAUUGGGAUUUCUAGAGAGACUGCCGGUGAUAAACCGGAGGAAGGUGAGGAUGACGUCAAGUCAGCAUGCCCCUUAUGCCCUGGGCCACACACGUGCUACAAUGACAAAGACAAAGAGUCGCAAAUUCGCGAGAACUAGCUAAUCUCAUAAACUUUGUCCAAGUUCGGAUUGUAC